rnacentral:tRNA from 1 species
GGGAGUGUAGCUCAGUGGUAGAGCACCUACCUAGCAUGUGUGAGACCCUGAGUUCAAUCCCUAGCACAGCCA